GAUGAACGCUGGCGGCGUGCCUAAUACAUGCAAGUCGAGCGAACAGACGAGGAGCUUGCUCCUCUGACGUUAGCGGCGGACGGGUGAGUAACACGUGGAUAACCUACCUAUAAGACUGGGAUAACUUCGGGAAACCGGAGCUAAUACCGGAUAAUAUAUUGAACCGCAUGGUUCAAUAGUGAAAGACGGUUUUGCUGUCACUUAUAGAUGGAUCCGCGCCGCAUUAGCUAGUUGGUAAGGUAACGGCUUACCAAGGCGACGAUGCGUAGCCGACCUGAGAGUGUGAUCGGCCACACUGGAACUGAGACACGGUCCAGACUCCUAAGGGAGGCAGCAGUAGGGAAUGUUCCGCAAUGGGCGAAAGCUUGACGGAGCAACGCCGAGUGAGUGAGGAAGGUCUUCUGAUCGUAAAACUCUGUUAUGAGGGAAGAACAAAGGUGUAAGUAACUAUGCACGUCUUGACGGUACCUAAUCAGAAAGCCACGGCUAACUACGUG
rnacentral:rRNA from 1 species